rnacentral:rRNA from 1 species
UGGGGAAUAUUGCACAAUGGGGGAAACCCUGAUGCAGCAACGCCGCGUGAAGGAAGACGGUUUUCGGAUUGUAAACUUCUUUUCUUAGUGAAGAAACAAAUGACGGUAGCUAAGGAAUAAGCAUCGGCUAACUACGUGCCAGCAGCCGCGGUAAUACGUAGGAUGCGAGCGUUAUCCGGAAUUACUGGGUGUAAAGGGAGCGCAGGCGGGACUGCAAGUUGGAUGUGAAAUGCCGCAGCUUAACUGCGGAGCUGCAUCCAAACUGUAGUUCUUGAGUGGAGUAGAGGCAAGCGGAAUUCCGAGUGUAGCGGUGAAAUGCGUAGAUAUUCGGAGGAACACCAGUGGCGAAGGCGGCUUGCUGGGCUCUAACUGACGCUGAGGCUCGAAAGUGUGGGGAGCAAACAGGAUUAGAUACCC